rnacentral:rRNA from 1 species
GACGGACGCUGGCGGCGUGCCUAAUACAUGCAAGUAGAACGCUGAAGGAGGAGCUUGCUUCUCUGGAUGAGUUGCGAACGGGUGAGUAACGCGUAGGUAACCUGCCUGGUAGCGGGGGAUAACUAUUGGAAACGAUAGCUAAUACCGCAUAACAGUAGAUAUCGCAUGAUAUCUACUUGAAAGGUGCAAUUGCAUCACUACCAGAUGGACCUGCGUUGUAUUAGCUAGUUGGUGAGGUAACGGCUCACCAAGGCGACGAUACAUAGCCGACCUGAGAGGGUGAUCGGCCACACUGGGACUGAGACACGGCCCAGACUCCUACGGGAGGCAGCAGUAGGGAAUCUUCGGCAAUGGACGGAAGUCUGACCGAGCAACGCCGCGUGAGUGAAGAAGGGUUUCGGAUCGUAAAGCUCUGUUGUAAGAGAAGAACGAGUGUGAGAGUGGAAAGUUCACACUGUGACGGUAUCUUACCAGAAAGAGACGGCUAACUACGUG